rnacentral:rRNA from 1 species
AUACGAAGGGUGCAAGCGUUACUCGGAAUUACUGGGCGUAAAGCGUGCGUAGGUGGCUGUUUAAGUCUGUCGUGAAAGCCCUGGGCUCAACCUGGGAAUGGCGAUGGAAACUGGGCGACUAGAGUGUGGCAGAGGGUAGUGGAAUUCCUGGUGUAGCAGUGAAAUGCGUAGAGAUCAGGAGGAACAUCCGUGGCGAAGGCGACUGCCUGGGCCAACACUGACACUGAGGCACGAAAGCGUGGGGAGCAAACAGGAUUAGAUACCCUGGUAGUCCACGCCCUAAACGAUGCGAACUGGAUGUUGGGUGCAAUUUGGCACGCAGUAUCGAAGCUAACGCGUUAAGUUCGCCGCCUGGGGAGUACGGUCGCAAGACUGAAACUCAAAUGAAUUGACGGGG